rnacentral:tRNA from 1 species
GGAGUUGUGGCUCAGCGGUAGAGCUCUUGCCUAGCAUGUGCGAGGCCCUGGGUUCGAUCCUCAGCAACACAU